rfam:Myotis davidii contig251753, whole genome shotgun sequence.
GGGCUUACUUCGGCAGCACAUACACUACAAUUGGAACGAUUCAGAGAAAAUUAGCAUGGCCCCUGCACACGGAUGUCGUGCCAAUUUGUGAAGCGUCCAUAUUUUUA